AUUCAUCUCUAUCCAUGUAAUCAACCCAAAAAAUUAAAAAAUCUAAAAAAUCAAAAGAGAUAGAGAAGAAAGAGUCGUCGAAGAUAAGAUCAAAAGAUCUUUUGGCACUCAGCAAAGAUGAGGGGAUGGAGAAUGGAUUAAAGAGCAUGGAGCUCUAGGGUAAAGGAGAGGUAGGGGCCCAAGCCCUAGCCUUAGGUGGUG
rnacentral:lncRNA from 1 species